AACUCACAUACCUAUGCCUUAUAAAUUUAGCCCUACCCUCAACCCAUGUUUGCAGCUCUUCACUGCCCAUAGGUCCUGCCCCCAUGCUACUCCAUGCUAUUCUCUGAAUAAAAGAGCACAGCUGCCAGACCUUGAGAGUCCAAAAAAUCUUUCUUUCAACUCCUUGGCUCACCAAGCCCACAUCAUUUCUUCUCGUGGCCCGUACGGGGAUCUUGCUUCAUCGGCUUGUUAGCUUAAGUUCUGAAAUUCAUGAAAAGGACUCUGGCACUUCCUCUAGAGUACAGGUUUCUGAUAAACUUUCAGAUCAUAAAACUGAAAUAGGUAAGAAAUUAUAGAAUACUAACAGAGAAACUGAUGACUUCAUAAAUCUGCUAACAGAAGAUUCAGAUCAAGAAUCAAUCAUACAGGACUGUAGGAACUGAUGAGGAUGGUUAUAACUUUUUAUGACUUUUACUUGAAAUAUUGUUACUUUUUUUAUGUGGUUUUUUUUCUCUCAGAUUUAAGGAAAUCUUUUUCUCUUUUCUCUUAUGCUAACUAUAACUUAUAGGAAUUUGGUGAAAUUAUACUUUUAUGAGCAGAACUGAAACAUUUACCUUUUUCUCCCUACUUGAUCCCUCCGGAAUUUAGAAGCUUAGUGAGUGAGUGAGUAUGGUUAUUUUAAGCCAAUAUAGUUAUUUGCAUGAGUUCAGUCCUGUUCUCCUUAUAACAGGACACAUUUAGAAACAUUAGUUAUCUUACCAAGGCUUUGACUGGAAUGUCAUAUUUGAGGGAAACAUGCACACUCAGAUAUGACAAGACAGCCUUUGAGGAAUAAGGUUGACUUUCUAGG
rnacentral:lncRNA from 1 species